rnacentral:rRNA from 1 species
AUUGAACGCUGGCGGCAUGCCUUACACAUGCAAGUCGAACGGUAACGGGCCUUCGGGUGCCGACGAGUGGCGAACGGGUGAGUAAUACAUCGGAACGUGCCCGAUCGUGGGGGAUAACGAGGCGAAAGCUUUGCUAAUACCGCAUACGAUCUACGGAUGAAAGCAGGGGACCGCAAGGCCUUGCGCGGACGGAGCGGCCGAUGGCAGAUUAGGUAGUUGGUGGGAUAUAAGCUUACCAAGCCGACGAUCUGUAGCUGGUCUGAGAGGAUGAUCAGCCACACUGGGACUGAGACACGGCCCAGACUCCUACGGGAGGCAGCAGUGGGGAAUUUUGGACAAUGGGCGCAAGCCUGAUCCAGCCAUGCCGCGUGCAGGAUGAAGGCCUUCGGGUUGUAAACUGCUUUUGUACGGAACGAAAAGCCUUCUUUUAAUACAGGAGGGUCAUGACGGUACCGUAAGAAUAAGCACCGGCUAACUACGUG